AUACUUACCUGGCAGGAGAGAGGCCAUGAUCGCGAAGGUGGUUUCCCAGGGCGAGGCUCUUCCACUGCACUCCGGAUGUGCUGACCCCUGCGAUGUGCCUAAAUGUGGGAAACUAGACUGCGUAAUUUGUGGUAGUGAAGGACUGUGUUCACGCUCUCCCUUG